UACUUUCGCAAGGCACUGUAGAUAGACAGAUUCAUUUCUGGGAUCAUUUGCAAGUGAGCUACAGGGCAUCUGCUUAUUGGGCCCUUUCAGUAAGCCACCCACAGAGUUUACAUAACACACAUACUGUAUAUAAUAUAAUUUUUAUAUAUUAUAUAAUUUACACAAAUGGAUAGCAGCAUGGUCAUCCUGACAUUUGCUGAGAAGAUGACCGUAUAGGAGGCUUUUGUUACUGCGGUCAUCCAACAAACGUCUGCAAUGUGAUCGCUCUAAUGAUGGGGCCUUCAGGUGCUUCGGUCCUCUGAACAAUCUUGGGCCAAAGGUGGAGUCUGCCUGAGAACUUCCUGUGACCAGCAGGUAUAGCUCAAGAGAAAUCCUCCAUCAUGUCCUCCAAGAAGACUUGGUCUAAGUUCCUGCGACUUUGACCCUCCCAGCAAUACAGCUGCUCCUGUGCACAUCCAGAAUGUGCACAUUUCUGGUAAUGUUAGUGCAAAGGAGCAGUGUGGCACUGGCACAUAUCCCUACACCUCUACACUGUAAAGGUAACACCACCUCCUUCUUCCUUUUAUGUCUGACUAAAAUUUGAAUAUGUAAUAAAGAUUAUCAGGUAUUACCCUCCACUUUCAGUGUUAUAGUUUACGCUGGCGCCACUCUGCAACCUGCUGCCUGUCAAACUGUCAACCGGAGAUACAGCGAGUUCCUUAACUUUUAGAGGGGAACCCCAAAUUCAAGAAAAGAGUCAAGUGUGAGAAAGUAUCCUUUACUUAAACUGACCAUUGACCUUGAGUAUACCAAUACAUAUAAGUCAUUAUCAGUUAAUGUUAUGCAUUUGAGAUGUCAAAAGCCCAAAGAAGUUGUUCCCUGUUCUCCCAUUUGGCAAUGCAGACAAUGAGAAGGUUGAAGCCCAUAAAAGCCAGCUGGAUAUGUUCCUUAGAGUAGGUAUUCAGAUCAUAGUAGGUAUUCAGAUCAUAUCUUCACUCUGCAUGAUUGCUAAUGAUUUGUAUGGUGCUGUAAUUUCAGUGAUUUUCUUUAGCAAUUAAGCAGCAUUCCUGAGACAGCCAACAGUGAGGACAUGCAGGAGUUCCUGGCUCUCAGCUCAGAUGCGUGCACAUACUUUGGAAGAAAGCCCAUUAUCAAGUCAAAAAUUGAUAAGUUGUGGCAGAUGUUGCUUUGAACAUCCUGUGCCUGCUGAUGAAGGACCAGUGGAGUUGGCUGUGUACUGAGAAUAUACAGAAGACCAUCAGACUGCUCUUUGGCACCUUCAUUGAGAGUGGGUGAUAUGAAGUAAAAAAGCAGACACAGAACGCUGUUGCAUUAAACCAUUGGUUCUGCCUCAGAUGGUUGGAUUUAGGAGCUGGCCACUUUACCAGUGACUCCUGCUGGGUGAUUUACCUACAAGAACUGCAGGAAACCGUGUGGCCAUGAGGGAUGCUGCCUGCUCAGCCAUGCCUGCAGCAUAGUGCUGCAGAAAGAGAGGAGACUAAGCAGCACUGUCUGGACUGUCUAAUGAGGCUGAGAACACCCUGCGGCAGAGGUGCUGAUCACUACAAAAUGCCCAGAAGCUGCAGAUGGAAAACUGAUGCUUCUGCCAUGAUCAACAGUGGCAGUAAUGGGCCUAAAAGCUGUUUGACAUCAAGAGAAGAAGACAAACCUGGUUAAGGGCACAGCUGAAAGACAGAAACUAAGAAACUCAAGUCACUAAGUACAGUCACCCAGCGGAGCGGUCAGCUUCUCGACCAAAGACACUUCAGUAGGGUGAAUGCUUGCUGCCUGAGGAUCCUGAUACAUUUUGACAGGAGAUCAAGCUUAUGGUAUGUGUUUCAAGGGUGGGCUCUUAUCUGAAUGUUUGACUCUGCUAUUGUUACUUUUUUAUUACAGGUAUGUGAAAUGGACUGACUUUUAUGGUAAAACUGGUUCCCAGCCUUUUUAGCUUGUUAGCAUUUAUAGCCAAUGACUGAUUAACUGUGACCCUCAUUACAGCUUUUACGUACAGUACUGUAUGGCAGUAAACCGUUCAAACAAAGAGUGAUGUUUACUGAGUUCUGAAGAAGUUAAACUCCUCAGUAUCUCACAAAAGCAAAUAUCUUAAAGCAAAAUGUACUGAAACCUGUACUGAUGGGUGAUACUGAACAUGUGUCCAUCUUUGUCUCUAACUACGAAUAACAAGAUGUGGAUAUACACUGUCAAGAUUGCUACAAGUGAAUGGUGAUUGUCAAUGUUUUUGAAAGCAUGUCAACCUGCUUUCUGUCUGUUUUUGUUUUGGCUGAACAAUUUGACAGCUUCUCUCAUGCGAUCUUUACACUGGGGAUUGUGAGAGGAUUGAUUACAUUUUGUUUUUCAAGCUCAAAAAGUAAAAAUCUUAUUUCUGAGUCCAGAUCUCUGAAUCAUAGUGUGCUGUUUCUGUUGUCUCAGUAAUUUGGUGCAGAGUUUUAACAAGCCAUCUAAGGUCAAAUCUGUUUUGUUGUGAGCUAAACCAUCAGAACAGUUUGUUCAUGCAACUCUUUUGUUGUUGUUUCUCAUCAUCCAGCAUUGUUAUCUAUACUUUUAUAUUACAGACAAAUAUCUUGCACGACUACAUUGCAGCUGUCUCAGGGUGAUGAAGUGAAGCAUAUCAGUGUGAAUUCUCAUUUUCGCGAAUGAUAGGGGAGAAAGGUGCGUUAUGCAACAUGCUCGUAAAGAUUUCCCUCCUCAGUACACGUUCUGUAUGUGAUAUAGUGCAGGAUGUACAUCAGAGGAAGGGUUUCAGUGUUACACCAUCUUUCAUUUUAAUAACUAGCCUUUGUAAGCCAUAUGGAAGGCCAGGCUAAAGCUCUGAGUCUUCUCUGUUUAAACGGGUAUGGGAUGGCUGAAAUGGGGCUCUUGGUUUAAUUUCUGUUACAGUGUGAGGAUGUAUGACAUCACUACCCGAGGAGAGUGGAAGCAUCAGAUCAGGCCCUUGCUUGUAACCAAAAAUUACACCAAGCUGUCAUUAGUUAUCCUGACCUCUACACAGGCAGAGACCAGAUGGAGGUAUGUGAACAGUGUUACAGUACGUGUGUAAAUCAGUCUUGUCAUGGAAUUCAGUUUUAGAUUGUACAUGUCUAGAGAUCUGUACAGUUUGGUUUGAUGAUAAAGCAUCAUUGUGGUUCACAAGUUUAGUAUAGCACACCCAGAAUUUGCACAUUUCUGUUGCUAAAGUUGAAUGAAUUCAUGUUCAGUGUUACA